rnacentral:rRNA from 1 species
UACGUAGGUGACAAGCGUUGUCCGGAUUUACUGGGCGUAAAGAGCGCGCAGGCGGUCGAUCAAGUCGAGUGUGAAAGCCCCCGGCUCAACUGGAGAGGGUCAUUCGAAACUGGUCGACUCGAAGGCAGGAGAGGGUAGUGGAAUUCCCGGUGUAGUGGUGAAAUGCGUAGAUAUCGGGAGGAACACCAGUGGCGAAGGCGACUACCUGGCCUGUUCUUGACGCUGAGGCGCGAAAGCUAGGGGAGCAAACGGG